GAUCUAUUUUCCACACAUAUGUUGACGUCACAAGUGUAAUAUACCAAAACACAAUGCAUAAAGGCGUAAAAGAGAGUAUAUAAAUUUCAUUACAUCAUUCAGACUUAAGAUUCUUAAACAGUAGCAUAAUCAAAUUAUAGCAGAAAUAACAUAGGCGAUCUCCUACAAGAUGAUGACCGGAGUGUCGCUAGACUUAUAGCUCAUCAUAGUCCCUGUCAAAGUCUUCAUCCUCACCUUCUGAUAAAAAAAAUUAAGAAAAGAGUGAGCUCAUUUACGGUGGGGGCUCAACAAGUGCGAGGAAUAUGCAAGGUUAACAUGGUAAGGCUAAAGUUUAGUGCGGUUAGCAUUUAAGUUAGUCAGUAUUUUAUUAUUACCGUCUGAUUACUAAAUAUGAGUGUAUACCAUCCCAAAAUUAAAUAUGAGCGUAAAUAAUUAUAUCCAAAAGCACUUAAGUGAAAACACUUAAGCAAAUCACUUUAUCCCAAAAGAUCACCAUUUAACAUCCAUCUUAGAGUUUAAUUAUCAUGUCAGGGUCCAUGUUGCUCUUAACCGUGAGCACGACUGAAAUAUCAAUUUUACACUCUAUAGAGGUGGUACAACUUUACCCACAAGCCGUGUAUCACCUCUAACCUGGGUUAAUCAAACCCAUACUCACUACCGAGGUGAAUGGCUAGGGAUCCAUUAUUAUGAGGCUUUCACAAAAUAUACUUAAUGCAAAGUACCCCGCUAAGGUUUCCACGUCAGUAUUGGUGAAUCUUUGGGUGAGUUACCUUAGCCAAGACUACCACCCCAUGUUAACCUGAGCUGUCACCAAACCACUGUCGCCCCCUCUUACCCAUCUUUCAGGUAAGGUUGCUAGACACUAAGUAUAUAAAACUAAUUACCAAAGCCAGAGCCAUGAUAGCACUCGUGAUUGCACUUUUUUCCUUGAUGAUCACUCCAUGUUCCAUUUAACACAAUAUGAUCUUGUUUAAUCAUCGGAUUAACAACAACAAUAUAAACUUAAUCUCUAGAACAUUAAUAUCAUUGAAAGGAGUGCCAGCAUAUAGUUAAAGUUGAGCAAUAGCGAAGUUACUAAACAUAAUUUUAAUCCAAGGUUAAACAACGAACAAGGUUGGUAUUUUUAGGUAAUUCUAUUUAGGCAAACCCAUCAAAUAAUGCACAUAUCCAAAAGUAAACCUUAUUAAAUGUAUUAUUUGGGAUCAGACAGAAAAUAUAGGGGGAGAAAUCAACUUGCCUUGCUCAAAAGUAUCACGUUGAUCUUCUUCAAACAAAUUUGGGUCCUCUACCACUGAAUCCGCUUCUAAUAUAGUCGCACAUACAAAAAGAAAACAUACACCAAUAAAUAAACAUACAUCAUUCAACAAAUAAUAAAACAUACAUUAUACAAUCACACUUAUAAAAUAAAAACAUCCCAAUAUAAAACUUGAUUCGUAACUAUAAUAUAAACCUAACCAUAUCGAUGGUCAUUUUAUUUGUUAUGACAUGAAAUACUAAUUGUUUUGCUUCAAUAUUUCCCUAGAGAAAACUAUAUGGCAAGUUAACUAUGGAAACAUACACUAUAUGGAUUCAUUUAUAAUAAUAUAAUGCUAAAUCAAACUUUAUGGAACUAGAUAAUUAACAAAUUAAUUAUUGUAUUUCUACUGAAAGCACGUGGGUUAUAUUUUCUUUUAUUUGAAAAACUGUAUUAAAAUACUAUAACGUUAUUUAUAAGACACAAGCUUAUAAUUCAUUAAAGGGAUUAUAUUAAACUACUAUUUAGAUUAUAGUAGACAUGGUCACAAACUAUAUCAUCCGGCGUUAAUAGAAACUCUACUAUUUCUUAGCGAAUAACCAAUAUGCAUAUAUUGUGCAUGAAUAUAUGAGUCUUGAUUAUAAAUCUAAAUCAUAAAAAAGUAAUUAUAUAGUAAUUUUUCUAGUAUAUUUGAUUAAGAAGAGGUGGUCUACUAUUCUUUUUAACUUCUUGUUGUAUCAAAGCUAUAUCUAAACAAUGAGAACAACUAUAAUAUAAAUUGAUUUGCGAAAUACAAACAUUGCCAGAAAAAGGUAUUUUAACAUGUCUAACACAUAAUUAUAAAGUUUAUAGUACAAAUCUCUAUUUAAUUUGUGCUACAAAUACACAUUUUAUAUUGGAAGAACUAUAGCAGGGACCUAUACAAAAUUAAACAUAGCUUGCAGGGGUAGAUCACAAAAUUUGCUGACUUCGGUGGUCCUCCAGUGGCGGACGGCUCCGACGAUGAACAGAGACAGAGAGCGUCGGCCGCGGGCUUCGCGGUAGAGGAGAGGGAGAGCGCAGAGUGAGCUUGGAUGGCCAGGAAACAACUCCACGGGGCAUGGGGCUUUGAUUUAU
rnacentral:lncRNA from 1 species